AGAGGUGGGGGACAGAGUGGGUGGGGAGGGGAGCCGCCAUACAGUGGCCAGGACCAGCUUUGCCCAAGUGGUGGCAACCGCAUGACCACAGGAACGAUGGCGUGAGCCCCGUGGCAACCUGGAGGAAGGGGUGUGAGAAGAAAACAUUAGAACUUCUAUUUUGUACCUGUGUUACUCCACAACAAGAAAGCAAUCAGCUUGAUCAAUGCCUACUGUAAAGACGGCACCGCCCUCCGGAGGUCCUUUCUCAGCCCUGGUGUUCGGACAGCCACAUCCCCUCGCAGCAGGGGGAGGCCUGAAGCAUAGAGGGGCCCAUGCAGGUCUAUUCUGUUUCAGCGAAUUGCCUGGGAAAUAAUCCAGGAUCCAUUUCGUGUGGUCAUCUUGUCUCCCUGGUCCCCUCCAGCCUUUCCUCAUCUUUUGUGACCUGGUCACUCUGGAAGGGCGCUGGCCAGUUAGUCCACAGGAUGGGCCUCCCCUGGGGCUUUUCUGAUGCUUCCUUAUGAUGGCACUGGCAUCCUGAGGGGGAGGACCACAGAGAGGAGGUGCUCCUCAUCACACCACAUGGGGGUCCAUGCACCAGUGCCACUGCUUUCCAGGGCUCUUCACCUUCAUCACUGGUGGAGGUGGCGUCUGCCAAGAAGCAGAAAGUUGAGGCUUAGAAGGUGCACGGCCCUACCUCUUCCGAGGUGCCCCUGCGGGCUGUCUACAGACCAGGCAGCACAUGCCUGAUAGCAGCUGCAUAAGGAAAAGCAGGAGCCAGCUCGUGCACAGUGGCCUCAAGUGUGCACUGGGCAUGUUCUCUGCCUCACCAUCCCUGUGUGACAGAUGAAGCAUGGCAAGCCAGGCUCCAGAGAAGCAUCCUGAGGACCAGUGUUCCUAGGGACCUCAUUCUUCUGACCUCAUUCCUACAACGUUUUGUCACUGCAAAGGAAAUCACCAAGGCCAGCAUGACAGCCCUCAACAGAAGCCAAGGCCAAGUCCUCGAACUUCCUAGUCUGCACAAUGUCUGUCUUUCAGACACUUCUGAUGAAACUGAAAAUGCCACCAGGGAGAAGCAGCUGAAAUAACACUUGUGCUGAGGUCGCUGAGCCACUGUGGAAGACAUCCAAGCUCCAUAAAGACAGGUCAAGUGCACAUGCUCCAGUCAACAGCCCAGCUGAGCCCUCAGCAUACAGCCAACACCAACUGCAAGCUGAGGGUGAAACAACUUGGAUGUCCAUUUGGAUGUCAAGCUGGACUUCAGAUGCCUGUGGUUGCAGCUCUGUCUGCAACUACAUGGAAGACGCCAUGUGAACCACCUAGUAGAGCCCUUCCUAGAAUUGUUGGCCCUCAGACUCUACAUGCAUAUCAAAAUGAAUGUUGUUUGAAGCCAUAA
rnacentral:lncRNA from 1 species